AAAAAAUUGUUGGUUUUACUCUUACCAUUACUCUGCCGCUCGCUCGUUCCUUCUCUGUAUCGCCCCUCCCCUUCUGCACUGCUUUUACAGAUCCAUUUCCCUAUUGCGUCACUUUCUUCCUCCCAAAGUUCCUUCCUCGUCCUUUUCUCAGUCUCUCUCUUGGCUAUCGACGGCAGCUCUCCCCCUCUCUCGGCGAAACAACUUCGACGCCAACCCUCCCUCUCCCUGUGUUAAUUGUGUUCGACGGCGCCCUCGCUCGUCCCUAUUCUCUCUCACGACUCCCAUCCCCUCGAAUCCGUGAACAUCUAACUCAUCUCCGCUGUUACGUGGCCGGUGGCUAGCCGCUGAGACGAUGCGCUAUAGUGGUAGAUGAGAAAUAUUCAUACCAUGAUUAAUGCUUGGCCGUUAUUUUGAAACGCAAAAGCAGCGUGGUUUUUAUGGAAAACUGACUUUUCCUGAAAACUGUUGGCCACUCGAAUUUUUCUUAUGUGAUUUGGGAUCGAAACUUGAUUUGGAGAUUCAAAACUUGAAACCAAACAUAUACUUAGCAGUUAGCACUGGGCAACCUGGAGGUAAGGAAAUUCAGAAAUUGUGAGGGUUGGCCGUGGAGGAGAACUGCUAGUCUCUCUCUUGCAAGGAGAAGGGAAAAUAAAAAUGAUGAACGACUGCCAAAAAAAAGAAAGAUGAAAGAGAACGAGACAAUACAAAAAAAGCGGGAGGGAGAAGGACAGAGGAAUGGGUUGAUGCUCCAAUCCUCAGGCGAUGAAUUAUUCGUUCAUCAUCUGUGGUUUUCACCAGGAACAAUUUGUUUGGUGAAUGCAUAAGAUUUAGGAUAAAAAAAGUGUGGUGGUUUGAUACAUACGUAAAAAUUUUCAUUUACAUGAUAUGACGCGUUGUGGUUCAUUCUGUGUAAAUUUGAGAGAUGGAAUACAGCCGUGGUUACGCGAUUAUGAUAGGCUACAAUCAUUUGCUGUCGUUCUAAUAUAUAUUCAGAUUGGCUGUGCGUUAAUUGGAUCGCUGGGAGCACAAUACAAUGGGGUGUUGCUUAUUAAUUUGGCAGUCGCAUUGUUUGCUUUGGUUGCAAUCGAGAGUAGCAGUCAAAGCCUCGGCCGUACAUAUGCGAUUCUCCUAUUCUGUGCUAUUUUACUUGAUAUCUCUUGGUUCAUUCUCUUCACUCAUGAAAUUUGGAACAUUCCUACUGAGGAUUAUACAACUUUUUUCAUAUUCUCAGUGAAACUUACUCUGGCUAUGCAAAUUAUUGGUUUUGCUGUGAGGUUAUUAUCCUCAUUGUUAUGGAUACAGAUUUAUAGGCUGGGAGCUUAUGUAGACACAACUUCUCGAGAAGCAGAUUCUGACCUAAGAAAUAGUUUUUUGAGUCCUACAACACCUGCUUUAGUUAGGCAGUGUUCGAGUUCCAAUGAGAUACUUGGGGGCUCUAUCUAUGAUCCAGCUUACUUCUCAUCCUUGUUUGAGGAUGGCCAAGAGAACAAAUGUUUAUUUGGGAUGCACGAUCAAGAUACUAUUAAGAAUGAGUCAAGUUCAGCUGUUGAAGAUUCUCAAAAGUCACUUGCAGACAGAUCUUUGCAGGUUGUGGAUAUAACAAAGGAUUUGUUCUAAAGCUGCCCAUUCAGUGAUAGUCGAAGAAGACAAAUUGAUUGACUACACUAGAAUGCAAUGUUAAGGAAGAGAAUGCAUCAAUCAAGAUGGAAACUGUUUGAAAAUAUUGAAAAUAAGCCCAAAAUUUGCUGAAGCCUUGUUUUCGAUGUACGCCCCCAUUCUGGUGAUUGUUGGCAGGUUUUUCCCUUGGUAAAUGUUGCUGGGAAGGAGAUAAGGCAAAUAGUUGGGUUGGUUCUAUGGCAGGGACGGAAUUCAAAGUUUUUCAUCAAAGCCAGAAAAAAAAAAUCUGAGUUUGUAAUUGUGAAAUCAAGUUAAAGCCAUUUUGGCUAUAAAGAUCUGGAAAUUGGGGUUGAACAUUACUCAGAUACGCGCAUGUGGGCUAGCAGUUUAACCCAAUGCCUUGUCAUUGCUCUUGUAGCAUCUCGUUUGACUUUUGCAUUAAGGGAGGGAAAGCUAGGAUACAGAUCCGUGUCCUAGGAUUUAAGCCGAAGUUGUUUUAACUUUGUUUCAUUUUUCUAUUGGUUCAUUAGGCAGUUGGUUAGUUUAGAAUAAAGGGGUUACACAAGUGCAAUGAUGCCAUUCAAUUCUUAUUUCUUUUAUUUGUAUAGUACUGUGCAUUGGGAGACUUAGACAAUCAUAAUAUUUUCAUUUGUCAAA